UCCAUCCUCCAUCCGAUUGUGUUCAAGUGUUGGUGCCUUUGUGCCAUCAAUAACAUUUUUGUUUUCUUGUCGUACAUAGAGGCCGCCCACGCCUUCAUUUGAUAUUACUUGCAUUUAUGUGAAAGUUUAUUGUGCCUAUAUUUUCGAUAUUGGAGGCCUAAAACUGUGUUUUGCCUGCCUAUAUUUGGCGUCUAAAAUGAGCUUUUUUAAUGCCUAAAAAUCCGGCGUCUAGUGAUCACCAGCGCCGUCUUAUCGCUAAUGCAACAGGUCACAUGAGUCACCUGAGGCUUACAUGAGUUCUCACUUUACAUUGUUCCACAUGGCGCAGCAGUGACGUGACUUGUGAUAUUAUUGUAUUAUUGUUUGUAAUGGUGAAUCUCUGAGGGGUAGGGCGAGGGCUAGAGCUUGUGCACAAGUGUAUAGACCGGCCCGCUGUGAUUGGCGGGAUGAAGAGUGAGGUAUACGAGGAUCGCAUCCGUUUUUUUUUUUGGUAGAAGAUAAAAGAAGAAUCGAGGCACAUAUUUUGCAAAUCACUUCUGCCUGUAAUGUGGAAGAGGUUGCAUUUAGAAUUUGCUGCAACACCUUCGUUGUAGUGGCUGCACCAGCACAAGUAUUGCUUUAAUAAUUAGCUGUAUUUGUAAUGGUGUUUCACUGCCCAAAUUUUGUGUGUCAGUGCCACAGUGCAGUCUUGCAGCUUUUUCUACCACAGGUACACUAUUGCAGCUUACAUAAAACACAUUACAUGUGACAUACUUGUGCCUGCCAGCAUUCACCGUGCAUUCGGAACUGGUGUCCAUUGGCGUGGGCUUCGCACAGUGUUGCCAUCUCAGUUGUCAAGAGUGCCACCAAAAUAGGUAAUCAAAUCCGCUAGAAUCCACUAAUCCCCCCCCCCCCCCCCCCCCCAAAAAAAAAAUAACCAUCAAGUUAUUCGCUAAAGCACUAACAACAAUUUUGUUGGACACUAAAAUAAGCAUAAAUACAAAAUAGACAAAGAAAUGCUGAAAACGAACGUAAUUUACUAACACACUUAUAGGAAUACAAAACAUCACUGCAUUUUCAAUUUUCUUCACGGAACACUCACUCUGACCGCGGCGCUCAGUCUCUCAGCGCAGGUACACAGGCGUAAAAGUUUCAGAGUGUGAAUAGAUGGUCAUCAUCACAAUCUGGGCUAGAGUCUCCCACUUGGCCGAGCUGUGGCUGGUGUGGAGCACCCGUUGAAGGUGAGGGCUUACUCACACUCACAUCUCGAGUUCUGAUGAGGCAGAUAGCUUUCUCUGCCAGCUCGUAGUGGAAGCACGCCUUUUUGUGUCUUUUCAGCCCAGCUCUGAUGACCAUGAUGGCGUUAACUGUACUGGGCGAGAGCCUGUAUCGGAGCUUUGUCUCCAACAAGUUCAUCUGGCUUAACGAUCGCUCAACUUCAGCAUUCGAGUAAGGUAGUACUAGCAUGGAGAUGGCGAAAUAUGCUAGUUCACCGAACGGGUUUUCGCCAUUCCGCUAAGUAAUCCGCCAUCCGCUAAACACAAAUUUUCGCCGCUAAAGUUAUCGAAAUUCCGCCAGAUCUAGCGGAAUAUCCACUGAGAUGGCAACACUGGCUUUGCAUUAACAAAAGAAAAGAAAAUGCGAAUGAAGGUGCCAAUAGACUAUGAGACUAGUUGCUUGAUGAAGCUGGUUGGUCAUUGGUCAUUUGGGAUGGUGCUGCAUUUUUAGGUAUGGCACAGCACUUAAGUAUAGUCAUUAGUGAUGAUGGCAGUUAUCACGGCGAAAAGCCAUGCACAGAGCGUGUUCCAAUGACCUUGCUUUCUUGCUGUUCGUGAUACAGUGCUUCAUAUUCUCAUUCAUUUACAGUACUAACUAGACUAAUUAAUCUCCUAACACAUUUCUCUCUCUUUGUCAGCAACGUCUGCAGUUGUCAGAACUCUGCAUUUUUUGUUUCUGUUUCGUAUGUGUUGAUGAUUGGAAUAAAUGUAGUUGUUCUGAAC
rnacentral:lncRNA from 1 species